UCCGAAAUCAACCAAUUAAAGCCCAAAUCGUAUAAUAGUUUCUCUCUAACUCCUCCCACUGAGAUGACCCAUAGUACCCCAUUCCUUGCUGCAAUGUAAUUAUAUUUAAUUACAAGUGUGCCCCUGGUAGUCUUUAACUGAAGGGCACUGACUGGGUCACUGGUGAAGUUCCCCGCAGGAACUGAGUCAGACCCCAUCUCAGGGCCCUGCACAAGAUAGGUGCCUGCUCUAAGGCGUGGACCCUCGCCACAGCCCUGGCCCGUCUUGACGGGCGAGGGUUACUGUACUUGUCCCAACCGUACAGAUGAGAAAGCUGAGACUCAGGGCCAGCAACCCGGGUCCCAGCGGAGCGCCCGGCACACGCCGACACUUCAGCACCAGUGGCGGUGGCCACCACUGUGGGCGGAGAUGGCUGCGACGCGUGCGCAGGUAAAGUCUAUGCGCGCCUUGCCUCCCACCGGCGCCUUCCCCGGCCUCUGGUUUUUGUCCCCGCCAGCGGCUCCGACUCCAUCGCGUCCUCUUCCAGUCUAGUGCUUUUUUCCAGAUCUCGAUCCCAAACUCCCUCCUGCCAGAAUCUGGACCCGAAUCCACCCAUUGCCCGUUUUCCGCUGCCGCUGGAGAGAAUCUCUGAGGUCCCCAGGAGAGCCUGCCUGCACGGAAGAGACGCCUCCUCGGGAAAUUUGUGCACAGAGAUAACACAGGGGAUAUGCCAUAUGAAGAUGAAGGCAGAAUUCUACAAGCCCAGGGAUGCCAAAGAUUGCCAGCAAACCACCAGAAGCUAGGAGAGAAGUGUGGAUUAGAUUCUUCCUCACAGCCCUCAGAAGGAUCCAGCCCUGCCAAGAACUUGAUCUCAGACUUCUAGUCUCCAGAACUGUGAGACAGUGCAUUUUGUUUUGUAAGUCAGCCAUAUGGUUUGUGGCACUUUUUUAUGGCAGCCCUAGGAGAUGAAGACAAUAUGCAACAUGGUAUGUCCAUUAUAGGACACUGUGGGCCAUAAAUGUGUUCUUUGGCCUGAAGAAAUAAAACUUGGUGGUCCAA
rnacentral:lncRNA from 10 species